GGGCAGUAGCUCAGUGGUAGAGCUCCUGCUUUGUAUGCAGGAAGGCCUGGGUUCGAUCCCCGAGUUGCUUA
rnacentral:tRNA from 1 species